rfam:Schistosoma mansoni strain Puerto Rico chromosome 3, complete genome
AUCCAGCUGACGAGUCCCAAAUCGGACGAAACAUGCGUCCUGGAU